rnacentral:rRNA from 1 species
ACCUGGUUGAUCUUGCCAGUAGUCAUAUGCUUGUCUCACAGAUUAAGCCAUGCAAGUGAAAGUACAUAUGUAAAUAAUAUAUUGAAACUGCGAACGGCUCAUUAAAACAGUUAUAAUCUACUUGAUGUUUUUAAUAUAAGGAUAACUACGGAAAAUCUGUAGCUAAUACUUGUGAAAAUACCUUUUGAUAUAUACAUAUGUAUGUAUCAUUAAGGUAUGUAUUUGUUAGAUAUAAGAAUAAAAUAAAUAUAAUUGAAUUAUAACAAAGAAGAAACACAUAAAAUAUGUGUAUUAUCAAUCGAGUAUCUGACCUAUCAGCUUUUGAUGUUAGGGUAUUGACCUAACAUGGCUAUGACGGGUAACGGGGAAUUAGAGUUCGAUUCCGGAGAGGGAGCCUGAGAAAUAGCUACCACAUCUAAGGAAGGCAGCAGGCGCGUAAAUUACCCAAUUCUAAAAAAGAGAGGUAGUGACAAGAAAUAACAAUACAAUAUCGAAAAAUGAUUUUGUAAUUGGAAUGAUAGGAAUUUACAAGGUUCCUAGAGAAACAAUUGGAGGGCAAGUCUGGUGCCAGCAGCCGCGGUAAUUCCAGCUCCAAUAGCAUAUAUUAAAAUUGUUGCAGUUAAAACGUUCGUAGUUGAAUAUUAAAGAAUCCGAUGUUUCAUUUAAACUGGUUUGGGAAAACCAAAUAUAUUAUAUAUUUUGCUUUGUUCAAAAUAAGGUUUUCUAAUAAAUUAUGUUUUUAUCAGAUAUGACAGAAUCUUUUUUAAAAUCUCUUCAAUAUGCUUUUAUUGCUUUUGAGAGGUUUUGUUACUUUGAGUAAAAUUAAGUGUUCAUAACAGACGGGUAGUCAUGAUUGAGUUCAUUGUGUUUGAAUACUACAGCAUGGAAUAACAAAUAUGAAUAAGCUAAUUAUUUUUUUUUUUCAUAAUUUUUUUUGAUAUUCUUAUUAGCUUAGUUACGAUUAAUAGGAGUAUCUUUGGGGGCAUUCGUAUUCAGAUGUCAGAGGUGAAAUUCUAAGAUUUUCUGGAGACGGACUACUGCGAAAGCAUUUGCCUAAUCUAUUUCCAUUAAUCAAGAACGAAAGUUAAGGGAGUGAAGACGAUCAGAUACCGUCGUAAUCUUAACCAUAAACUAUACCGACUAGGUGUUGGAUGAAUAUAAAAAAUAUAUAAAUAUGUAGCAUUUCUUAGGGAAUGUUGAUUUUAUAUUAGAAUUGCUUCCUUCAGUACCUUAUGAGAAAUCAAAGUCUUUGGGUUCUGGGGCGAGUAUUCGCGCAAGCGAGAAAGUUAAAAGAAUUGACGGAAGGGCACCACCAGGCGUGGAGCUUGCGGCUUAAUUUGACUCAACACGGGAAAACUCACUAGUUUAAGACAAGAGUAGGAUUGACAGAUUAAUAGCUCUUUCUUGAUUUCUUGGAUGGUGAUGCAUGGCCGUUUUUAGUUCGUGAAUAUGAUUUGUCUGGUUAAUUCCGAUAACGAACGAGAUCUUAACCUGCUAAUUAGCGGUAAGUACACUAUAUUUUUAUUUGAAAUUGAAUAUAGGUAAUUAUACAUGUUUAUUCAGUGUUCAAAUUAGGAUAUUUUUUUAUUAAAAUAUUCUUUUCCCUGUUCUACUAUAAUAAUUUGUUUUUUUUUACUCUAUUUCUCUCUUCUUUUAAGAAUGUACUUGUUUGAUUAAAUAAAGCUUCUUAGAGGAACAGUGUGUAUCUAACACAAGGAAGUUUAAGG